GAUGAAUAACGCAGCGAAAUGCGAUAAGUAAUGUGAAUUGCAGAAUUCAGUGAAUCAUCGAGUCUUUGAACGCACAUUGCGCCCCCUGGUAUUCCGGGGGGCAUGCCUGUCCGAGCGUCAUUGCUGCCCUCAAGCACGGCUUGUGUGUUGGGCCCCCGCCCCCCGGCUUCGGGGGGCGGGCCCGAAAGGCAGCGGCGGCACCGCGUCCGGUCCUCGAGCGUAUGGGGCUUCGUCACCCGCUCUGUAGGCCCGGCCGGCGCCCGCCGGCGACCCCAAUCAAUCUUUCCAGGUUGACCUCGGAUCAGGUAGGGAUACCCGCUGAACUUAAGCAUAUCAAUAAGCGGAGGA
rnacentral:misc_RNA from 1 species